rnacentral:rRNA from 1 species
UGGGGAAUCUUGCACAAUGGGCGAAAGCCCGAUGCAGCAACGCCGCGUGCGGGAAGAAGGCCUUAGGGUUGUAAACCGCUUUCAGUAGGGAAGAAGAUGACGGUACCUACAGAAGAAGGUGCGGCCAACUACGUGCCAGCAGCCGCGGUGACACGUAGGCACCUAAAGCGUUGUCCGGAUUUAUUGGGCGUAAAGAGCUCGUAGGCGGUUCGAUAAGUCGGGUGUGAAAACUCUGGGCUCAACCCAGAGCUUGCCACUCGAUACUGUUGUGACUAGAGUGCGGUAGGGGAGCGGGGAAUUCCUGGUGUAGCGGUGAAAUGCGCAGAUAUCAGGAGGAACACCAGUGGCGAAGGCGCCGCUCUGGGCCGUGACUGACGCUGAGGAGCGAAAGCGUGGGUAGCAAACAGGAUUAGAUACCCUGGUAGUCCACGCCGUAAACGUUGGGCACUAGGUGUGGGUCUCGAACCAACGAGAUCCGCGCCGUCGCUAACGCAUUAA